UUAAGUUCAGCGGGUAGUCCUACCUGAUUUGAGGUCAGAGUCAGAAUUGCCACGGGGGCAGGGUUGGUAGCAGCCAUCGACGACCGACAGACAAGAGAAACUUAUUACUCCCGUCAAAGGCCUGAUUACCACUGACACAUUUGAGGCGAGCCAACGACGUGGCAGACGCCCAAGUCCAACGUCCCCGAGAAAAACCCGAG
rnacentral:misc_RNA from 1 species